rnacentral:lncRNA from 1 species
UCCUCCUAAGUAAAGAUGUGGAGUAUCCUUUAAGCAGCAACUUAAAAUCACUGAAUCCUGAAGGGAAAAGGAUAAGCAUUUAGAAUGCACCUACUAUGUGCCAGCCAUUAGGCCAAGUGCUUUUUUUUUUUUUGCAAAUAUUAUCUCAUUUGAUCCUGACAACAGUCCUGAGAGCUUUACCUCCAAGUUGAUGACACUUGACUGCCCUGGGCCUCAGUUAUCUCAUCUGCAAAAUGAGCAGGUUGAGGUAAGUAUUCUUGAAAGUUCUCUCCAUUGGAAAAAAAAAAUUCCACGACUCUUUGAUUUGUUGGUCUAGUCAGCUCUUUUCUGUCUGAUGCAUUUUCUGAACAUGGGGCUCGCUUAGAAGAAGAAGAACGU